rnacentral:rRNA from 1 species
UACGUAGGGUGCGAGCGUUGUCCGGAAUUACUGGGCGUAAAGAGCUCGUAGGUGGUUUGUCGCGUUGUUCGUGAAAACUCACAGCUCAACUGUGGGCGUGCGGGCGAUACGGGCAGACUGGAGUACUGCAGGGGAGACUGGAAUUCCUGGUGUAGCGGUGGAAUGCGCAGAUAUCAGGAGGAACACCGGUGGCGAAGGCGUGUCUCUGGGCAGUAACUGACGCUGAGGAGCGAAAGCGUGGGGAGCGAACAGG